GCCAACCUAUUUUAUUUUCUCAAACCUAUAUUCACCAUACCAUAUCGAGAGGGAGAAAAAGGAAAGUAGUGACUUUCCUUAUAUAAACACAUACAUGUCUAAGCUUACUAAAUAGGAAGCUCUUGGCUAAAUCUAGGAACGAAGUUGUUGGACUUGAGACUUAAAUUAGGACAUUGUGCACUGAAACAAUUUUGGAGAAGGAUGUUCUGGAAAGGAUAAGAAUGUGAUGAACUAAGGUUUUAGUGGCAACGAGAGGCAUGUAGCAAGUAAAGGAAGAUGCUAGUGUAAUAUGUUUGUGUUUGUGUUAGGAGCUUACGAUGUAAUCUUUUGUUACAAACUUGAAGACGUUGUAAGAGCUUUAUAUUAUUAAGUGUUGUUAA